CUGAGUGGCAGACGGGUGAGUAACAUGUGGGAAUCUGCCUUGUGGUUCAGGACAACAUUGGGAAACCGAUGCUAAUACUGGAUAAGCCCUUACGGGGAAAGUUUUAAUGCCAUAAGAUGAGCCCGCAUUUGAUUAGUUAGUUGGUGAGGUAAUGGCUCACCAAGACAAUGAUCAAUAGCUGAUCUGAGAGGAUGAUCAGCCACACUGGGACUGAGACACGGCCCAGACUCCUACGGGAGGCAGCAGUGGGGAAUCUUGCACAAUGGAGGAAACUCUGAUGCAGCGAUGCCGCGUGAGUGAAGAAGGCCUUUGGGUUGUAAAGCUCUUUUGUAGGGGAAGAUAAUGACUGUACCCUAAGAAUAAGGUCCGGCUAACUUCGUGCCAGCAGCCGCGGUAAUACGAAGGGACCUAGCGUAGUUCGGAAUUACUGGGCGUAAAGCGCGCGUAGGCCGUUGAGUUAGUUAAUUGUGAAAUCCCAAAGCUUAACUUUGGAACUGCAAUUAAAACUGCUCGACUAGAGUUUGAUAGAGGAAAGCGGAAUACAUAGUGUAGAGGUGAAAUUCGUAGAUAUUAUGUAGAACACCAGUUGCGAAGGCGGCUUUCUGGAUCAACACUGACGCUGAGGCGCGAAAGUAUGGGUAGCAAAGAGGAUUAGAUACCCUCGUAGUCCAUACCAUAAACGAUGAUUGCUAGAUGUUGGAAAUUUAUUUUCAGUAUCGCAGCUAACGCAUUAAGCAAUCCGCCUGGGGAGUACGACCGCAAGGUUAAAACUCAAAUGAA
rnacentral:rRNA from 1 species